rnacentral:rRNA from 1 species
UUUGGUGGCGAUAGCGAAGAGGUCACACCCGUUCCCAUGCCGAACACGGAAGUUAAGCUCUUCAGCGCCGAUGGUAGUCGGGGGUUUCCCCCUGUGAGAGUAGGACGGUAAAG